rnacentral:rRNA from 1 species
UACGUAGGGUGCGAGCGUUGUCCGGAAUUAUUGGGCGUAAAGAGCUCGUAGGCGGUUUGUCGCGUCUGCCGUGAAAGUCCGGGGCUCAACUCCGGAUCUGCGGUGGGUACGGGCAGACUAGAGUGCAGUAGGGGAGACUGGAAUUCCUGGUGUAGCGGUGAAAUGCGCAGAUAUCAGGAGGAACACCGAUGGCGAAGGCAGGUCUCAGGGCUGUAACUGACGCUGAGGAGCGAAAGCAUGGGGAGCGAACAGG